UCCCUGAAUUUCAUCCGAAGAGCAGCUGCCCUCUGAUCUGAAAUACUCAUUUUGUCUUUAUGUGAGGAAGAUAUAAACUUUCACUGGGAAGCUCCCUGAGGCCUUCUAGAUGCAGAUGCCACUAUUCUUCCUGUACAGCCUGCAGAACUAAGGAUUCCUGAAGUAGGCAGUUCCAGAGCUGAUCAGCAACUCACAAAUGUGAUCGGGAGUCCAGACACUUUCCAUCCUUCAACACCAGCAUCAUUAGCAGGCUGGCUUCUCAUCCUCAUACUCAUCAUCUCACUGUCAUGAGCAGGCUGCCACAGCUCUAAGCAUCAAGGCUUCAUGCUAAUUACAUUCAAAGAUGAGAAAAAGAGGGCAAAGGAAAAAUACCUCUUCUGUUCAUCAGGAAAGAAGAAUUUCCCAGAUUUUCUCCUGUUCCCAUGGUGGGGACUGAAUCACAUGGCCAUCUCUAACUGUAAGGCAGGCCAAAAUGUUCUGUUAAAGACAGCUUCUUCUUGCUCCUCAGAAACACUGGCUGCUCAUCUGGCCCCAAAAUCUGCACAUGGUUCAUUCCUUCAUUUCAUUUCUGCAUUGAAACCUCUUACUAAUGGGAAUGCUUUUUUUUUUUUUUGAGCAAAUAAAGACUACCAAAGACUGCAAGACUCCUCUGCAGAAAGGAGUGUACAAUGGAAGAAACAAUCCUGAGCUGGAAGUCAGAGCCAGGGGUUCUGGUCCCAACACUCCUCUAACCAU